rnacentral:rRNA from 1 species
GACGAACGCUGGCGGCGUGCCUAAUACAUGCAAGUCGAACGCAGUGGGGACGGGUGCGUAACACGUGGGUAACCUCCCAUCAGAGUGGAUAACCCUUGGAAACAGGUGCUAAACCGAUACUGGAGGAUGGAGCCGUGGUGCAUUAGCUAGUUGGUGAGGAAACGGCUCACCAAGGCCACGAUGCUUAGCGUACCUGAGAGGGUGAUCGGCAACACUGGGACUGAGACACGGCCCAGACUCCUACGGGAGGCAGCAGUGGGGAAUAUUGGACAAUGGGCGAAAGCCUGAUCCAGCCAUGCCGCGUGUGUGAAGAAGGUCUUCGGAUUGUAAAGCACUUUAAGUGGGGAGGCGUUACCAACAGAAUAAGCACCGGCUAACUUCGUGCCAGCAGCCGCGGUAAUUC